rnacentral:rRNA from 1 species
ACGCUCGACACCUACGGGAGGCAGCAGUGAGGAAUAUUGGUCAAUGGGCGCUAGCCUGAACCAGCCAAGUAGCGUGAAGGAUGAAGGCUCUAUGGGUCGUAAACUUCUUUUAUAUAAGAAUAAAGUGCAGUAUGUAUACUGUUUUGUAUGUAUUAUAUGAAUAAGGAUCGGCUAACUCUGCGCGAGCCGCGGUAAUCUGAGCGGGCUGGCAAGGC